GUGAAAUUGUUGAAAGGGAAACGAUUGAAGUCAGUGUACCGACGGGGAAAUCAACUAUCUUUGAGUGCGAUUUUGUGGUGGUGAUGAGCUUAACGGCCUUCAUAUUGGCAAAUUUGUACUCUUAUGGUGUAUUUUUUCGUUAUGGUGGGUCAACAUCAAUUUUAGUUCGUUAUAAAAUGAUUGGGGGAAUGUAGCUUUGAUCUCGUAUUGAAGUGUUAUGGCCUCUGAUAGAUGUAACGAUUGGGAUUGAGGAUUGCAACGAACCCUCCGGGGCUACCUGUCUGGCCUCUGGUGGUCGCUCUGGUGCUGAAAGCGUGCUUAUGGUUAUCAGAGUUGGUUGCCAAAAGGUUAGAACGGGUUAAUUUCGUUAAGGAUGUUGACGUAAUGGCUUUAAACGAC
rnacentral:rRNA from 1 species